rnacentral:rRNA from 1 species
UUCCGGUUGAUCCCGCCGGACCUGACUGCUAUCGGAUUGAUACUAAGCCAUGCGAGUCUUUGUAGUAAUACAAGGCAGACGGCUCAGUAACGCGUAGUCAACCUACCCUAUGGACGGGAAUAAUCUCGGGAAACUGAGGAUAAUACCCGGCGUACCAUCAUUCCUGGAAUGGUUGGUGGUUAAAAUGAUUCGUCGCCGUAGGAUGGGACUGCGACCUAUCAGCUUGUUGGUGAGGUAAAGGCCCACCAAGGCGAUUACAGGUACGGGCUCUGAGAGGAGAAGCCCGGAGAUGGGUACUGAGACAAGGACCCAGGCCCUAUGGGGCGCAGCAGGCGAGAAAACUUUGCAAUGUGCGAAAGCACGACAAGGUUAGUCCGAGUGAUUUCUGCUAAAGAGAUCUUUUGCUAGUUAUAAAACCACUAGUGAAUAAGGGGUGGGCAAGUUCUGGUGUCAGCCGCCGCGGUAAAACCAGCACCUCAAGUGGUCAGGAUGAUUAUUGGGCCUAAAGCAUCCGUAGCCGGCUCUGUAAGUUUUCGGUUAAAUCUAUGCGCUCAACGUAUGGGCUGCCGAAAAUACUGCAGAGAUAGGGAGUGGGAGAGGUAGACGGUACUCGGUAGGAAGGGGUAAAAUCCUUUGAUCUAUCGAUGACCACCUGUGGCGAAGGCGGUCUACCAGAACACGUUCGACGGUGAGGGAUGAAAGCUGGGGGAGCAAACCGGAUUAGAUACCCGGGUAGUCCCAGCUGUAAACGAUGCAGACUCGAUGAUGCAAUGGCAUAGAGCUAUUGCAGUAUCGCAGGGAAGCCGUUAAGUUUGCCGCCUGGGAAGUACGUACGCAAGUAUGAAACUUAAAGGAAUUGGCGGGGGAGCACCACAAGGGGUGAAGCCUGCGGUUCAAUUGGAUUCAACGCCGGG